UAUCAUAUGCCACAGCUAUGCUCCAAUGAUGCUCUUCGAUUGGCGUCAUGUUGUCCCAGCUCAGAGAUAGGUUUUCAACAUCCACUUACAGGUAAAAUAAAUUAUAUUAUGAAUAUUUAAUUUGUAUAGUAUUCUUCUAAUGUUUGUUACUGGCAAGGUAUAUUUGACAUCAUCGAUUUCGAUGAUGAUCGUGUGAGGCGAGC
rnacentral:lncRNA from 1 species